rnacentral:ribozyme from 1 species
AAGAGCUAAGAAGGAUAGCAUGUUGAGGCUUCUUUCGAGGGGCUGAGCUUAUGCAUAUAUAUUAUAUAUAUAUACAUAUAUGUAUAUAUAUAUAAUAUAU